GACGAACGCUGGCGGCGUGCUUAACACAUGCAAGUCGAACGGAAAGGCCCUGCUUUUGUGGGGUGCUCGAGUGGCGAACGGGUGAGUAACACGUGAGUAACCUGCCCUUGACUUUGGGAUAACUUCAGGAAACUGGGGCUAAUACCGGAUAGGAGCUCCUGCUGCAUGGUGGGGGUUGGAAAGUUUCGGCGGUUGGGGAUGGACUCGCGGCUUAUCAGCUUGUUGGUGGGGUAGUGGCUUACCAAGGCUUUGACGGGUAGCCGGCCUGAGAGGGUGACCGGCCACAUUGGGACUGAGAUACGGCCCAGACUCCUACGGGAGGCAGCAGUGGGGAAUAUUGCGCAAUGGGCGGAAGCCUGAUGCAGCAACGCCGCGUGCGGGAUGACGGCCUUCGGGUGGUAAACCGCUUUCGCCUGUGACGAAGCGUGAGUGACGGUAAUGGGUAAAGAAGCACCGGCUAACUACGUG
rnacentral:rRNA from 1 species